rnacentral:sRNA from 2 species
CAGCAGGACAAGCGAUCUUGCAGGGUUUGUAUGCUAGAAAUAUGCACUCAAUCGAAUGUAGAAGAACAUGACAUUUCGCCCUCUGCCCCCAAUGGACAGAGUUACAGUGUGACGCAACCUUGGAACUGUCGCAUCUGGAAGCCCCAAGCGACAAUAGCUAAAUGCGAGGAAGGAUCCUUGGUGUUCAACACAGCAUCUGAGAUACCCAUAUCCUCACUCCAUAGGUAGGCCGCGGCAUCAACUGCAGAUGGACACCAAUAACCGCCCCGUUGCCCGCGCCAGUUGCCGUGUGUUCUCUGGCCCUUGUUCUAUACACAUGGUUCCCUCGGCCGCAAAUGCACUGACUGUCCUUGCCAAUCCCGCUUUGCUAGGUUCACAGAACACGACGUUAGGUUCUUGCCUGAAUUAUUUUAGUUAACUACGCGGUAUGCAAUCGAGGCUAGUAUAAAGAAGCCACUUCGCUUUCAAUUAUUCGUUCAUCCCCAUUUGGUCUUGUGCGAUCUUGUUUUUUUUUUCUCCUCUCUUUAAUCACAGGGUUUUGGGGCAAAUCUGGUUUUCUAUAUAUUUUCUAUUCUAGAAUUUGGAGGGAAAGAAAGGUAGAAAGGGGUGGGAGAGAAAAGAAAGGAAAAAAAAAAAAAAAGGAGGAGGAGGGGGGCUGUUACACAGGGAUGCGUAUGCAUGGAUGUAUGCAUGACACACUCGAUAUGUGUGUGCCUUCGGGUUCCUGCAUGGAUAAUGGAUUCAAAAGGGGAUGGCGGCGGAUGCCUCGUAGCAAGGGACACUGCAACGAAGAACAAGACAGGCCGAAUCGGCGUAUGAAACGUAAAUAUAUAAAGGAGUUGGAAAUUGUAUUAUUUCUCUAAUCCAAGGUUGGAUGCCAACGACCCGACACUCACCGACUACGAACCAAAAUCAAACUAAAAUAAUUGAAUUCCGAAGGGGGAAAAGAAAAAAGAGGUAAAAAAAACCGAAACGAGGACCGAAACGAGGACCGAAGGGGAAAAGAAGAGGUUUCUCCCAUUGAUAUCCGAACAAGCGAAGGGUAUUUCAAAUCGACAAAAUAAUCACUCAUAUCAAUAGCAUCAUCCCCCCAUACGUCUUCCAUCAAACUUUCACAAAAUAAGUAAGUCUCCAGAACCGUGCUCAUACCACCAAUUAAUGCCAUUAUGAUUAAUCGUAUCAUCAGACAAACAAUACGUCGUAGCUAUGCAAGGCUACCUAUUAUUACCACAAACCAGAGCUCUCAACCCACUACAUCGCAUGCGAUGUUGUGAUUACCCCAAGCCGACACGGAAAACCAAAAGUCGAAAGGAUUUUAGGAAAGGGCUACACAAAAACAAGAAAAACAGAGAGGAAAAUCAAUAAUAAAUCGGUUCCUGAUAAAUCGGCGGCAUCCCUUUCUCCUCAUUCCACGUAAUCUUAUUAUUCUUCUCAUCAAUCGUUGCAUCCUCGUCGGAAAUCGCAAUCACCUUGGACGUAUGCGCCACCUCCUGCCUACUCACUCCACCAACAUCGCGUGGAAUCCACAACAACGGCGGCUUCGAGCCGACAGAAGGGUGGAAAUAAGCAUUCUGCUCAACCUCAGGAGUAUAUGAGAUAUCGGCAAAAUCCUUGGGGACGAGCUUGCGCAGAGUUUCGUAGUUGGCGUAUCUGUCUGGGCGCAGAAAUUUGCCGACAAUGCCAUGGGGCUUUGUUGGGAGGAGGUCGGUGGGGUUUGAUAUGCCCUUUUCGGCAUCAGUGCCAUCCGCGCCAUUGCUGGAAGGACCAACAGCGGGCUUUUCAGCAGCAUCACUGCUGUCUUGAGGAGAGCCAUCUUUGGCGAGCAGGUCCUGCUCUUCUGCUUCGAGGUUGCGUGGCAGAUACUCGAGCAAUGGGGUGACAGCAGCAUUAAGCGAAACAUGGUAGAUAACUACAAAGACAAGGAAGAUGAUCAUGAGGAUUAAGGGCCCGAGGGCGCUCCUGUCACUGCCAGUGCUGAUGGCAAAGAGGCCCACUAGACAGAGAAUGAGGAGGUAGCAGCCUACGGCUGUUUGUUGGAGGGCACGAGGGUAAAUCAUGCCUUUGGUGUCGAUGUUGCUAUUGGUGACGUACAGCAUGUUAUAACGAUAUGCGACAUAGAAGAGGAACAAUCCAAUAGUGGCGAAGCCAAGGACCAAGGGGGCAAUGGCACCAUAGGUAAUGGCUAAAGAGGGGGAGUAAUCAGUCUGAUUAUGGUUUGAUAACGAUGAGAUUGGGAUGGGUUUACAUACCAAUCACGCAAAGGUUGGUCAGAACCGGCAAGACGGUCCCCCAGCCCAAACCGGAGAGCGUUGACCACCGUUUGUACAUCUUUCGGGGAGUGUUAUCCAAAAGCGUGCCCAAGAUUUUUGAUACAAUCAAGCCAGCGAUCUGGAGCAGAGCACCCGCACUGAAAGUUAGACCCUGGAGAAUGAAGUACGCAAUAUAGAAGUUAGAUGCUUUGGGGAUGUUCUGAGCCAGCAAUGUCGCUGCACUUUCAGGUUUUUGGAUCACUUUCUGUACAACACUUGAGGCUGCGGAAGAUAAUGUUGUAACAAGGAACACCUGGACAACCUGGAAUCCAAAAUAGAAGUUUUGGGUUCUGAGCUCUGCAGCAGCUGUAGUUGGACAGCCACCAAGUCGUGCCAUUAAUCGAAGUAUGAUGGGCAGCAGAGCCAUCAGAACUGCAAGGAGCACAGCGGGGAGCAGGGAAGUGAUAAGACCCAGAAUGACCGGAGGACAGUCAUUAAUAAAUCCGAGAAAAGGGACUUUUUCUGUUAAGAAGUUGAUGUUUGAGAUGGCACCCACAACAGCAACUGGAAUCGCCCAGAAGAUGAUCAGGGUUACAACAGCACCAAUGGUGGCAGCAUUUCUGAUAAUAAGCUCCCACCACUUAAUCCUCAAAUUUGACCAGAUGAUAUCGUUUGGAUUGAGACCAAUGUAUCGUGGAGCCAUGUGGAGGGGUUGGUUAUGAGCAACUGAUGCCGGAGUUAGUAAGUGUACCCAAUGAUUUUGAUGUCGCAAGUUAACAAGUUAACAUACCCAUUUGAUACGCUGCCUGCGCCUCAUUUUGAGUGUAGAAUUCUACAAAUACCGCGGAUAUUUUCUUAGCAUCACCAGCACGAUGUUUUGCCUGGAGGGCUUCUAUUUCUGGAUUCAAACGCUCGAUCUCAGUCCUCGACCAGUUGAUGGUAUCAACCUUUUUGCCAAUAAGAGGUUUGAGUUUAUGGGUAGGCCUAUUGGAAGGUUUUAUCCAGCGAGCGGCCACUGAGCCUGAUUCUGCCUGAGCCUCAUCACCAGUAAGAUUAUCUGUGUCGUGGUUUUCCUCAUCGGCUGGCUUAGACUUGAGAGACUUGAUGCGUGCACCAUUGGCCAAUUUGAUCAGUUUUGUUUCAGCAGCCUCAAGGCGGAAUGCAGUUUUGUCUCUUUCCUCAACCAAGUCCGCCAAUUCCUUGGUGUCAGUUGGGAUCCAAACAUUUUUCACUUUAUCAUCGCCAUAAAUACGUCGAAUCUUUGCUUCAUUCAAGUAUUCUUGGGGGACGGAGGUGAAGAGAACAGUCUUUGAAGAGAUACGGGAAGCAUAAAGUGGAGAGAAGAAGUAUGCUUGGCGCAGGUUGAUGAAAAAGAGCAUUUCCCGUGUGAUCAUGAAGAAAACAAAACCUUUGGGUGAGUGGUAUGCGAUUUUAGUACUUUGCUUACUUUCCGGUCAUUGGAGGGCAGGUGGGACCUACCAACGAAGAUCCAAGUCACAAAGGUAUGGGCAUAGAAUCUAUUCAGGUUGUUUUUCACGUUUCCAAAAGUGAGGAUAUCCAAUUGUUUUAGCCCCCCACCGCCAGUGGCAUUGACGGGAAAUAGAACUGGCCAGGUGAUAAAACAGCCCACCAGGCAAAUUGUUGUCGCAAUCUUCAGGUAUCGAAGGAGGAGAUAUGCAUCUAGAGAGUGGUGUCGCAAUACGUAUUCAUCAGACAACUUGGCCAUCGACGUUAUCCAACCAAAGAUCCCCGGUGAUGGCGCUGGAGUGCGCUCCUGCUCUCGCAGCGAGCCAAGAUAGGUUCUCGGCGCAUAUUGGCGACGUUGACUUUGACGGAGAAUGAUGAAGAGCAGUACCAUGGCCCCGGAGAUGAUGAGGGUAGGGAUCAAGGUCGAGACCAGCCCGGAGGCCGAGUUGGAGGUACUCUUAGGGUCCUCGUCCUGGGGUGUGAGCACAUGUUAGAUUCAAGUCUUACAUCUCGAAGCAAACAUGCCCGCCACGUUCAAGAAGAGAGCUUGAGGGUUAUAACCAUUGCUUACCAUGGCUGCGGUUUCUGCUACAGCUGCUCCUAAGUUCCGCUGUCAAGCUGCACAAUGCAGGUCGAUGGGGAGCCGCCAACUGCAGCAAUGACAGCAAAGACGGACUCAAGUUAACGAUAUAUAUCGCCAGCCUUCGAGCGCACAAUGGAAUCAGAUAAAAAGGGGAAAAAAGGGAGAAAAGCCCGGAAGAGGGGAACAGUGUUGAAUUUCAAUUUAUGUACAGUUCACAAGUAGGAGAGGAAGGAAAAUGAAAAUAAAAGAGCGACGAUACAAAGGAGCAAGCCAGGCAAGCCACGAUGAAGUGGACAAACACGCGAUUUGCUGCCGCAAGCUUUCACUGCUCGAUGACAAGCCACAGCUCUAUCUGAUGCAAGAGGCAGGAAAAUAGUUGUUGUUCCGCCACCAAGCUGGGAAUCCAUCACAGCAAGUCAAUGCCGGGUUUGGCAUUGGCCAUGCUCACUGAUUGUUUGGUUUUCUUUCUUUUUCUUUCUUUUUUUUAGAGCUCACGGAGCCGAGGACUCCCUCGACGAUCAGGAUCCACUCAGAGGCAAAAGAUAUCAUCAUUCUGCACGUAUCUGUACUAAGUAUCGUCUGGAUUGUUCACUUCCUACCCCGGUUCCUUCGGUCUCCAUCGGCUUUUACCCUUCUCAGAGCCGUGGCAUUACCAUUUGUGUUGCUUGUCACCUCUCCCGUUGUUUUGCGUACUCCGUAGUAUCGGCAACAUUUUCUCAGAGCUAGCGAGCCAGGCAUGCGAAGUGGCGAGUUUUGCUCCUGAGCUAUCCAAGGUUUUGCCCAGAGUUAUAGCUUCCAAUGGCAGACCAUGGGCGUGAUGCUCAUCACGUCAAAUAGUCAGAAUGCCAUACGAGAUCCUCGAUCGCGGGGGCUUUGGAAGAAUCACUGCCCAAAGGGGCAGCCAGUUCUCUGAAGGGGAGACUCUGCUGCCAAUAAACAUGCGCGAAAUCCCGAAGGAAUGGACUAUCACGUUUAAACUUCGAGCUAAGGGGCGCGGAGCCCUGGACAGUGGAUAUAUUGAGUGGAGCUUUCUGUGGACACCGGGCACCUUGUCUGGCGGCCCUUGACUACCCAAGCUGGGUUUUCGUUGUGCUGGCCUCGCCACCAGAAAACAGGAAACGGCGAACGGGUGACAGAGCCAUGGCGAGCUAUGUUAUUUUUCCUGUCACUUCCAGUAGUUUACAUUUCAGGCAUUUUAUUUUUCACGACCUUCCACGGCGGUUUGUACUAUGUAUGUCGCCUUAAAAUUGAACAGGCCCAAAAUUGUAAAAAUUGUGAUUGCUCAAAAAUGUGGUUACUGGUUAGGCCCCGCGCAAAAUCGCAUCGCUGAUCGAGGAGUUGCUAAACCAGGCUAAAUUAUUAUUCAAUGACUUCUGCGUCAGAUGCCAUUCAAAGUUGGCCCUGCCAAGAUGGCUGGCUGAUCGUUCCUCGGCUGAUGCGAUUUUGCUGACAUGGAUUCUAGGACUCACUAACUGGCUAAGUAUUUGGUAUUUUCAUCAACAUGAAAUGCAGCAAGGUGGACAAAUAUGAACCGGACCAUUUCCAUUACGUCUGGCUGAGAUUAGGCAUCAUUCCUCCAAAACAAGCCCAAAUCGCCCAGGCGGGUUUGUGAUUGAUCAGAUAUAACAACAGUACUAUUUCUCGUGUCCCCAGAACCUCCAAGUUCGCAGGGGGAAAUGGAAUUCGGAUAGCUAUGGGCAACCUCACGAAAUCUUCCCAUGUCUCGGCUCCUGGCACCCUCGAAUCCCCUACGGUCCCGUGCCCGCUUCUUCCCAAAUCCGUUCCAUCACGGUUUCAGCAAAAGGCCAGGGAUUCAUGUGUUGCCAUUCACUUCCAUGCAAGUGCCUUUCGAUGGGUUUUGUGACUCUUGAUCCCAAGGCAGAAGGAGAGGAAGAGGGAGUCCUAUCAUGAAUUUCCGAAGGUUAUUCUUAUUAAUACCGUUGCCAUUGGUGAAGCCUCUCGCUUGAGAUAGUGGUGUUUGUAGCGCAAAGGUACAACAAGUUCGUGUCCGCAUGUCAUCAAUGGGGUUGACUUUGUCCGGAUUUCCUGUGAUUAUUUCUCGCGACGCUUGCACACAUUGCUACCGCCUAAUUAUGGAUUAGACACCAAUCGAAAAAUCCACAUCGAUACCCCCUUUUAUGAAAUCCCUCGGGGCUCUAUGAUCUGUUGCCCGAAAAAUAAAGUUCCUGAGGACCCUACUUUAUACCUUGCCCGUGGCCGAAUUUGAAGACGGCAUGGUCAGCCAGCCGGUCACCGGAAAACUGCCCCACCAAUCUUAUUCUUGGGUUUAUGUCUGCAAAUGUAGCGAUGACUGCUCUCUGCAACUUUGACGAAAGCCGCGUUGACAUCAUGGCUGGCCACGCUGGGAGGCGUGGAGUAGGGUUGCGAGGCGGAUAUUUAGGUAAGUGGCGCCACAAUGAGGGAGAGGAUUGCCAUUCUCAUGUUCCUGUGUCCAGGUAUGGGAUGUUGGACUGGUUGUGUUCAAGAUUCAGGAUAUCCUCAAAGGAAACAUUUUUUCUACAAAGAAAAGUAGCGUAUUGAAUGAUGAAUAGCACCUAAAUAACUAGUCAAGACUGUCUUCCUCCUCAGGCCCUCAUUUCGGAGUUCAUUAAAAUGUGACUAGAUGUGUGUCCUUUGUCUACAACCUGUUUGAAAGGAUCUAUCCCAAUCCCAGACCAAGAUCUGUUGUGCAUGCAUUCUGAUUGUGACUAGUGAUUGAGCAGCAUAUCUAAAAAAGUUGGAGACAACUUCUCUAUAAAAUUUAGUAUCUUUCAUUGUUCCUUUCCUUUUCUAUCGCAUUGGAUACAAGACUGUGAGCAGUGGCUUUGGGUCAGUGGGUGAUAUCAAACCUUCAAACGCUGGGCGGGGAAGAUCCUCGUUUUGUCACACAUCAGUGCUGAGAACUCGUGGUAUAAUUAUCAUUGUUACUGGUGCAACAGAACUGUGGCGGAAUUUUUUUCCCCGCUCGAUGACGCAGCUCUUGUGUUUAUUGAGACGACAAUUGGGUGAGAUUUCGGCGAACCUUUGGGAGGUUUCUGUACGACGCUUCACAAGCAACUCGUAGUGGGAUCUAUGCGAAAUGUUAUUAUCCAUCUGCAUGUCACCCGUGCUGUCAAUUGGGGCUUCAUGUAGGAUAGCUCUCGUAUUUAAGAUUG